rnacentral:rRNA from 1 species
UACAGAGGGGGCAAGCGUUGUUCGGAAUUACUGGGCGUAAAGGGCGCGUAGGCGGCCUGCUAAGUCGAACGUGAAAUCCCUGGGCUCAACCCAGGAACUGCGUCCGAUACUGGUUGGCUUGAAUCCGGGAGAGGGAUGCGGAAUUCCAGGUGUAGCGGUGAAAUGCGUAGAUAUCGGAAGGAACACCGGUGGCGAAAGCGGCGCGCUGGACCUCUUCUGACGCUGAGGCGCGAAAGCCAGGGGAGCAAACGGG